rnacentral:tRNA from 1 species
GGCGGGGUAGCUCAGUUGGUUAGAGCGUGGGACUCAUAAGCCCAAGGUCGUCGGUUCGAUCCCGACCCCCGCUACCA